AAUAAUGGGACAUGACUCAAGGAGCAGGCCUCCAUCCAUCAGAACGUCCAGGAGAGGAGCAGGACUCCUUCCGUCAGUAAGCCCAGGAGAGGAGCAGGACUCCUUCCGUCAGUAUGUCCAGGAGAGGAGCAGGACUCCUUCCGUCACUAAGCCCAGGAGAGGAGCAGGACUCCUUCCGUCAGUAAGUCCAAGAGAGGAGCAGGACUCCUUCUGUCAGUAAGCCCAGGAGAGGAGCAGGACUCCUUCCGUCAGUAUGUCCAGGAGAGGAGCAGGACUCCUUCCGUCAGUAAGCCCAGGAGAGGAGCAGGACUCCUUCCGUCAGUAAGCCCAGGAGAGGAGCAGGACUCCUUCCGUCAGUAUGUCCAGGAGAGGAGCAGGACUCCUUCCGUCAGUAUGUCCAGGUGAGGAGCAGGACUCCUUCCGUCAGUAAGCCCAGGAGAGGUGCAGGACUCCUUCCGUCAGUAUGUCCAGGAGAGGAGCAGGACUCCUUCCGUCAGUAAGCCCAGGAGAGGAGCAGGACUCCUUCCAUCAGUAAGCCCAGGAGAGGAGCAGGACUCCUUUCGUCAGUAAGCCCAGGAGAGGAGCAGGACUCCUUUCGUCAGUAUGUCCAGGAUAGGAGCAGGACUCCUUCCGUCAGUAUGUCCAGGAGAGGAGCAGGACUCCUUCCGUCAGUAUGUCCAGGAGAGGAGCAGGACUCCUUCCGUCAGUAUGUCCAGGAGAGGAGCAGGACUCCUUCUGUCAGUAAGUCAAGGAGAGGAGCAGGACUCCUUCCGUCAGUAAGCCCAGGAAAGGAGCAGGACUCCUUCCGUCAGUAAGCCCAGGAGAGGAGCAGGACUCCUUUCGUCAGUAUGUCCAGGAUAGGAGCAGGACUCCUUCCGUCAGUAUGUCCAGGAGAGGAGCAGGACUCCUUCCGUCAGUAUGUCCAGGAGAGGAGCAGGCCACUCCUUCCGUCAGUAUGUUUUGUGAUAAACAUUAAGAGGACAGCCACACCUGUGGACCUGGUGAGAAAAUGGUUGACCUGGUUUAAUGAGUUAUGCUCAAAGGAAUUCAUAUGUAGCAUAAAUUUUAUCUAUGAUUCCUAAAAAGUAUUUGAUUUCAUUGUACAGAAGUGUUUUGUUGUUGGUCUGGAGUCCAUCUCUAUUGCACUUUGCUAAAUCGUAUACUGGUGUAAACAUCUGUCUGAUAGUAUCACUGUCCUUUGGAGAAGCAGGGGGACCCCCUAACCGGAGGACCCUGUGACCGAGAUGCAUUGACCAGUGUCAACAGCUAGACAGACACUGCUGACAUGAAUGCAAGAGUUGCUUGAACAGCUUUACAGAAACAGGUUAUGACUUCUUCAGUCACCACAACCCAUAUGUGUGUGAGAGGCUCUUAUGAGAACCACUUCUGGCUAAGGGCAGUGUGCAUCAGUCCUGAGGGACAGGAGGGGUGGAUGAACCCAGGAUACACGCUUCCAAGGAGUGCCCACAGAAUUGGGAGCUGGUACUAUGAUGAUAGAUGCAGUGGAGAAGUCAAAUAGAAUUCCGUUUAUCUCAAGUUUUAAAUUCUUGUAAAUUUGCCGACAGAGGACCACAUUCAUGUUGUAAAUGCAUACAAAGACUCAAAGAAACCACAUGUAAGGAUAGUGGGAUUGCUUUCAUGCAGCCAAUGUCAGAAUAGGGGUAGAGGAAAGGUCUGAGAGACAUUGGAUGGGAAUUUUGAAAGAGGCUGUCUCAUGUCAAUGAAUCCAAAUCUUAUCCUUUUUGCUGGGAAAUAGCUGUGACUAUGGGAUUACAAUUUAUGUGGCAUAGUGGGGGAGGUCUGAAUUUGUCGCAUUUAGUGUGUGCUGGUAUACAAGGAAUGGCUAAAUUGUCCCAGUACUUGUAGGCACAGAAGUGACAUUGGAACUUAUAAGUAAAAGUGUCACAUUUACACAAAUGUAAAACUUAAAAGAAAGCCACAGUAAAGGACCCGCACACCCACAGCCUCUCCAUGUCUUCUUCACCCCCCUAUGAUCAGUAAUAUGACCUGUAUUUAAUUGUUCAUCCACAAGAUGUACACAUACAGACCCCUACACAUGGUGACCUGCAGGAAGCGCACACACAGACCAUCACAUGCUGUUUCACUGUGAUUUUUCCUUCCAAAACCUUUGGUGUACAAUUUGUGUUGUUGCAGUAACAAGUCGGCCAGUGUGUGUGCAUCCUGUAGGGUACCAUGUGUAGGGGUAGGGGUCCUUGUGUGUACAUCAUGUUGGGUGAAGAAUUACAUACAGGACUUGUUACUGGUUAUAAAGGGGCUGGAGAAGGCUGAGUGUGAGGCACUCUGUGUUUGUCAGCAUCCACAGUUAUUAGAAAAUUUGGGUGAGUCCAAUUUUGGUGUUGGAAAUUACAGUUCUGACUAUUUCAAGAAUGACUUCUACCAACACAGAUGAACUUCAAGUA